GAUAAAGCAAGUGUACUAAUGCUGAGGGGUCAUUUUAUAGUAUCAAAAUUAACCCCCAAAAGCUAAUUGGAUCGAAAUAACGUAAUUCUUUCAUAAGCAACACACUUCUAAUGUGUCUAAUGUCUUAUUUCUGGACAGGCUUUUCAAAGUUUUUAAUAAUUCUUGUGCCGUCCAUGAUGGUGAAAUUGUGGCGGGCCUUCUCUCCUCAACUGUUGCCUGCCAUGACUGUGAGGUUCAUUCCAUCCUGAUUAUAAUUGCUUUCAUCUUGUAUCGUGACUGUUUUCAAUUCUUCAGGGCCCUGUCAACUCAGCAAGGUUCACAGAGGUUGCUGUGGUUUAGCCUGGCAGAACGAUGGGGAAGCGAGCCUUCUGGAAAAGAUCGCUACGGAGACCACAUCCUACCCAUAGGGAGGUGACUAGAUACUGUGUGUAGAUACUGAUAUGCGCUGACCCAGGGGGCAGUACUACAUAUGAAAUGGGUCUCUGAGGCAGGUCCUACCUUAGAGUAAGGAUUGAACAACUGCCAGAAGAGACUGACAGAGCAGGUCUGUCAAAGGAAGAUAUGAGUUUACCAAGAGGGAAACCUUACCGUUGCAGAAUACACAUAUGGGAUUACUCGUAGGGAAUCAAGCCAUAUGGACACCUAGCCCAGUACAGGGGCUGACCGGGACUCCGGGCAUGCAAACACCUGGUCCUGGUGUCAGACUGCUCCGCCAAGCCUGACUGCCGGGGGGUGCUGGAGGAUGCUUGACCAGGAUUCACCAAUGGGGGAACUCUACUAGGAAAAGACAGUCACUU
ensembl:lncRNA